UACGUAGGGGGCAAGCGUUAUCCGGAUUUACUGGGUGUAAAGGGAGCGUAGACGGUUGUGCAAGUCUGAUGUGAAAACCAGGGGAUCAACUCCGGGAUUGCAUUGGAAACUGUAUAACUAGAGUGCAGGAGAGGUAAGUGAAUUCCUAGUGUAGCGGUGAAAUGCGUAGAUAUUAGGAGGAACACCGGCGGCGAAGGCGGCUUACUGGACUGUAACUGACGUUGAGGCCCGAAGGCGUGGGGAGCAAACA
rnacentral:rRNA from 1 species